AAAGUCGUAACAAGGUUUCCGUAGGUGAACCUGCGGAAGGAUCAUUAUCACGUAUCCACGUAUAAACCAAAACCGCGAACUGUCUUUAGCCUUUGGAAGUUCUAGCUGAGAUUAGUGUCUGUUCAUUGUGUGAUUUUGAACGACUUUUCUUGAUUUGAUGUUUUAGCUCCGGCUUUUUCAUCAUAACAUGGCUUUACUUCUGAAGUGUAUUAACAAAUCUAAAUCACACUUUAACUAUUAACCAAUUGAACCAUUAUUGUUUUUCUUUGUGUGAACUGAAUUGUUUCUUACUCUGAAAAUGCAAAUUUUCUGGAGAAGAAAUUCUUUACGAAACAAAAGAACAACUCUUAGCAACGGAUAUCUUGGUUCUC
rnacentral:misc_RNA from 1 species